CCUACGGGGGGCAGCAGUGGGGAAUAUUGGACAAUGGGGGGAACCCUGAUCCAGCCAUGCCGCGUGUGUGAAGAAGGCCCUCGGGUUGUAAAGCACUUUCAGUGAGGAAGAACGCCUGGUGGUUAAUACCCAUCAGGAAAGACAUCACUCACAGAAGAAGCACCGGCUAACUCCGUGCCAGCAGCCGCGGUAAUACGGAGGGUGCGAGCGUUAAUCGGAAUUACUGGGCGUAAAGCGCGCGUAGGUGGCUUGAUAAGCCGGUUGUGAAAGCCCCGGGCUCAACCUGGGAACGGCAUCCGGAACUGUCAAGCUAGAGUGCAGGAGAGGAAGGUAGAAUUCCCGGUGUAGCGGUGAAAUGCGUAGAGAUCGGGAGGAAUACCAGUGGCGAAGGCGGCCUUCUGGACUGACACUGACACUGAGGUGCGAAAGCGUGGGUAGCAAACAGGAUUAGAUAUCCUAGUAGUC
rnacentral:rRNA from 1 species